rnacentral:lncRNA from 1 species
CUGCCCUGGUAUAGAUGCUCCUCCCAAAGCAUGACUGUGUCUCCAGUAGCUGCUGUGGCUGAGAGUGUGCCCAACAUCUGCUUCUCAUGCAGCCUCACUCUGGCCAGCUUUUAUGUAGGGCAGACAUCUCAGGAGGAAGAGCCAACAGAACCAGAAGUGUUCCCAGACAUGUUGCUUCACCACCGUGCCUCUCUUUCUUUCAGCAAACAGGAGAGGUAGGAGAGGAAGGCAGAACAGAGCACUGACUAAGGAAAAGCUAUAUGAGGAUACAGCAAGAGGGCAGCCAACUACAUUCCUGGAAGACAGCCCUGAAACCAACACUGAUGGCACCUAGAUCUUAACUUCUGGCAUCUGGAACUGUGAAAAAAUAAAUUUCCAUUGUUUAAGCCAUGCAGUCUGUGGAUCUGAAGAAAUUUUUGCUACCUGAAAAGGGUCAGAGGGGGAGUUGAGAACCCGCUCAUUCAGAAACAGAAGACAUUCUACCCUCUGCCCCUACCCAGCAAGGUUAAAG